GACGAACGCUGGCGGCGGGCUUAACACAUGCAAGUCGAACGGAAAGGCCCUGCUUUUGUGGGGUGCUCGAGUGGCGCACGGGUGAGUAACACGUGAGUAACCUGCCCUUGACUUUGGGAUAACUUCAGGAAACUGGGGCUAAUACCUGAUAGGAGCUCCUGCUGCAUGGUGGUGUUUGGAAAGUUUCGGCGGUAGUGGAUGGACUCGCGGGUUAUCAGCUGGUUGGUGGGGUAGUGGCUUACCAGGGCUUUGACGGGUAGUCGGCCUGAGAGCGUGAACGGCCACAUUGGGACUGCGAUACGGACCAGACGGCUACGGAAGGCAGCAGUGGGGAAUCUUGUCCAAUGGGCGGAAGCCUGAUGCAGCAGCGCCGGGUGCGGGAUGACGGCCUUGGGGUUGUAAACCGCUUUCGCCUGUGACGAAGCGUGAGUGACGGUAAUGGGUAAAGAAGCACCGGCUAACUACGUG
rnacentral:rRNA from 1 species